CUCCCGUUGAUCCUGCCGAACCCGACUGCUAUCAGAGUGAGAUUAAGCCAUGCGAGUUAACGUAGCAAUACGUGGCGCACGGCUCAGUAACACGUAGUCAACAUGCCCAGAGGACGUGGAUAACCUCGGGAAACUGAGUCUAAACCGCGAUAAGUGAGGAUUUCUGGAAUGGUUCCUGACUAAAAUCUAUAUGGCCUCUGGAUUGGACUGCGGCCGAUCAGGCUGUUGGUGAGGUAAUGGCCCACCAAACCUGUAACCGGUACGGGCUCUGAGAGGAGGAGCCCGGAGAUGGGCACUGAGACAAGGGCCCAGGCCCUAUGGGGCGCAGCAGGCGCGAAACCUCUGCAAUAGGCGAAAGCCUGACAGGGUUACUCUGAGUGACUUUCGCUAAGAAAGUCUUUUGGCACCUCUAAAAAGGGUGCAGAAUAAGGGGUGGGCAAGUCUGGUGUCAGCCGCCGCGGUAAUACCAGCACCCCGAGUGGUCGGGACGAUUAUUGGGCCUAAAGCAUCCGUAGCCGGUUCUGCAAGUCCCCCGUUAAAUCCAGCUGCUCAACAGAUGGGCCGCGGAGGAUACUACAGAGCUAGGAGGCAGGAGAGGCAAGCGGUACUCAGUGGGUAGGGGUAAAAUCCGUUGAUCCAUUGAAGACCACCAGUGGCGAAGGCGGCUUGCCAGAAUGCGCUCGACGGUGAGGGAUGAAAGCUGGGGGAGCAAACCGGAUUAGAUACCCGGGUAGUCCCAGCCGUAAACGAUGCAGACUCGGUGAUGAGUUGGCUUCUUGCCAACUCAGUGCCGCAGGGAAGCCGUUAAGUUUGCAGCCUGGGGAGUACGGUCGCAAGACUGAAACUUAAAGGAAUAGGCGGGGGAGCA
rnacentral:rRNA from 1 species